CCUACGGGAGGCUGCAGUAGGGAAUAUUGCUCAAUGGGGGAAACCCUGAAGCAGCAACGCCGCGUGGAGGAUGAAGGUUUUCGGAUUGUAAACUCCUUUUGUUAGAGAAGAUAAUGACGGUAUCUAACGAAUAAGCACCGGCUAACUCCGUGCCAGCAGCCGCGGUAAUACGGAGGGUGCAAGCGUUACUCGGAAUCACUGGGCGGAAAGAGCGCGUAGGCGGGUUAGCAAGUCAGAUGUGAAAUCCUAUGGCUUAACCAUAGAACUGCAUUUGAAACUGUUAUUCUAGAGUAUGGGAGAGGUAGGUGGAAUUCUUGGUGUAGGGGUAAAAUCCGUAGAGAUCAAGAGGAAUACUCAUUGCGAAGGCGACCUGCUAGAACAAAACUGACGCUGAUGCGCGAAAGCGUGGGGAGCAAACAGGAUUAGAUACCCGAGUAGUC
rnacentral:rRNA from 1 species